GAAGAAUUGCCUAACCUGCAAAACAAGUACCUCACUCCUCCAAAUAAUCACACCACAAGUCUCUCUCCUUCCCCUGCUGCAACUGCUCCUCUGGGUGGCAGCCCAGGGAAGCCAGCCAGGACACCACAAUCUCCCAGAGGAGCUGACUCGCCUUUCUGUAAUCAAAAGGGCAUGUUAAUUACAACCCUUGCCCAGAAAAAGAUGCAUGGGAACUGCCAGUCAGAGGCCCCUGCUGUAUCUAAAGCCACCCGUAGCAUUUUCCUCCCUUCUAGGAAGGGACCAACCUUUAAGCCCUCGCUACGGCUUGUCACGAACCUAAAUAGGACUUCAAAGGUAAAGCGAGAAGGGAUGGCUUCUGACCCAAGGAGGAGACAGGGCAGAUACAUUUCCCUGGAGACGGGCAGUGCACAAUCCAAGGGAGGCGCAGAAGGGUUUUCAGACUUUCCUUCCCUCCUGCUCCCCUGGUGGCUCCAGAGGGAAACCCAGUGGGACAGGCAGCAGGAAGGGAGGGACAUUUACCCCAGAGUGAGCUGACAUGAGGUUGCAAAUGCAGGGACACAUAUAUUUGUCUCUAAGGAUCCCUGCGCUGCCUUCUUGCAACUGCAGCUAUUCCACGGGGAGACCCUUGGUAAAAUACAGUGGAGACUGUGGCCACAAAUACCACGUCCCAUCCCCACUUUCUCCAACAAAAUCACUGUCAACCUCUGCGUUCACUAAAACAGUUUUACUCUGUGCUGCGCUCAGUUUCAAUUAUUUUCAGAGCAGGAAUGAAAUGUCUGCAGCAAACACACCUGGAGCUCACUGCACGCUGACACUCAGCGGCUGAGCAGAUUCACCUCUGUGCCCGCUUCGGUGCCAACCUGCUGCCACCCCAGGCCCUUCGCCUCCUGCCCUGGUGUCUGCAUGGAUGGGCCAUGAGUGGUGUUUGUUUGUUAGGGCAUAGAUGGAGAGCAGCAAAUGUUGCUAGCCUGAGUGCCAUGCUCACAGGAGGGGCACCUGGAGGGUCUGCUCUUCAGGCUGCAGGACUGGGACCAACAGCCCUGGUCUUCUGGAGUGGGAUCAGCAUGCAGCAUAUAAGGCAAAUGUAACAUAUAAGAAGCAAACCUUUUGCACUUAGAGGUUUUUGUACACAUUCAGGAUUAAGCAAUUAAGCUGUGAUGCAAAGAGGAAUAAUGCCGAUUUAUGAAAUGGCACUGAGGUUAUUGCAUGAGGAGCCUCCCCUACCCUGUGCCAGGCAGCCCGAUGCACAGGAUGAAGUUCCUCCUCUAGCAACAUGAGCUGCAGCCCCAGUCCUGCAAAGCCUCACUCCCAAGCCUAUAGGUGGGAGCUGUGAGCAGCCCCCGCAGUCAGGAUAACCCACAGAGCCAAACUCCGCAAAGCUUAGGCAAAACAGGGCACAUACACCUCCAGACUGCAGCGCAUCUGGAGUAGAAGCACUUUAAAAAGGUGGUUUGCACAGCACCUAAUGCCAUAAGCCACAAUCGUGACUUUGGUGUUUGGAUGUUUCCAUGUUAUGACAAUAAAAAAGUACUUGGAGAGCAAAUACCGAUAGCAGUAUUCAUGUAUUCAUUGCAUAAACUUUCAUGCUUGAAAAUGUUCAAAAUCAAAAUGAAUUGUAAAUGCCUAUGAAGUAAACAAGUGUUUUUUGUUUACAAACAUGCUUCCAAAUGUAUUUGGGCUGUAUUCCCCAAUCAUCCUCAUUAGGAGGAGAGAGAGAAAAUGAGAAAGGAAAAAAAAAAGAAAUUUCACUGAAGCACAACCAAUGCUAGAGCCCAAUUAAUCUUUAAAAAAAAUAAAAUUUAAAAGCAGCCUAAGGAAAAUGCAGUCAAAUGUUCACAGAAUGAUCCUGCUAUCUCCAAGCCUCUGCCAGAAUUAAAUACCAUUUUCAGUUAUUUUUUUUCUGCAAAGUACUGCUGCCUUCUUUCUUGAUAGAAGCCUCAGAACACUUUUGGUUUAACCACUACUAUAAAACCUGGAGUCGUCUGCUCACCCUUUACAGCUUGUCUGGCAUCUGGCUUACUGGGGACUGAGGAUGAAAUGCCCAUGAGUCUGGCUGAAGUGACCGUGACAAGUCAGCUCCUGCCAUUUGCCCAGCUCUGGCUGGAGAUGCUCUGCACACUUUGUAUUUCAAAGCCCCUCCAUGCCAGCUUCUCACAAUAUUUGCUCACACUGGUUUCUUGUUUUCUUGCUCUUAACAUUCCUGUUCUUUCCCAUAAAUUCUUUCUCUCAGUUAUUGCUGACCUAGGAGAAGCAAGCUCUGGUUAUUCAACACUUUGCCACCUUACACCAGGUUUUGGAAGGUGAAAACCCUCAGAACAGUACAAAAGUCCAUUUUCUAACACUGCUUCUCCUAGUGAGAGGACUGUCAUCUCACACACACUGAACUUUAUCAGCCUUCAAAGACAUUACAUUAAGAAAAAAAAAAAAAAAAAAGAACAAAACAAAACACCAUAGUGUUGGGAUCAGAUACUUUGCAUGUAAAAAUAUCAGCUUUUAAGUAUAGGGGGAAAUUGCCACUUUUGUGCUAUUUCAUUAGCCACUCAUCACUCUAUAAUAGCAUUUUCAUUUACCA